GAUGAAGAACGUAGCGAAAUGCGAUAAGUAAUGUGAAUUGCAGAAUUCAGUGAAUCAUCGAAUCUUUGAACGCACAUUGCGCCCGCCAGUAUUCUGGCGGGCAUGCCUGUUCGAGCGUCAUUUCAACCAUCAAGCCCCCGGGCUUGUGUUGGGGACCUGCGGCUGCCGCAGGCCCUGAAAAGCAGUGGCGGGCUCGCUGUCACACCGAGCGUAGUAGAUUUUAUCUCGCUCUGGGCGUGCUGCGGGUUCCGGCCGUUAAACCACCCUUUUAACCCAAGGUUGACCUCGGAUCAGGUAGGAAGACCCGCUGAACUUAAGCAUAUCAAUAAGCUGAGGA
rnacentral:misc_RNA from 1 species